rnacentral:rRNA from 1 species
AGUGAACGCUGGCGGUAGGCCUAACACAUGCAAGUCGAACGGCAGCACAGUAAGAGCUUGCUCUUACGGGUGGCGAGUGGCGGACGGGUGAGGAAUACAUCGGAAUCUACUUUUUCGUGGGGGAUAACGUAGGGAAAAUUACGCUAAUACCGCAUACGACCUACGGGUGAAAGCAGGGGAUCUUCGGACCUUGCGCGAUUGAAUGAGCCGAUGUCGGAUUAGCUAGUUGGCGGGGUAAAGGCCCACCAAGGCGACGAUCCGUAGCUGGUCUGAGAGGAUGAUCAGCCACACUGGAACUGAGACACGGUCCAGACUCCUACGGGAGGCAGCAGUGGGGAAUAUUGGACAAUGGGCGCAAGCCUGAUCCAGCCAUACCGCGUGGGUGAAGAAGGCCUUCGGGUUGUAAAGCCCUUUUGUUUGGAAAGAAAAGCAGCAGGUUAAUACCCCGCUGUUCUGACGGUACCCAAAGAAUAAGCACCGGCUAACUUCGUG